rnacentral:rRNA from 1 species
UACAGAGGGUGCGAGCGUUAUUCGGAAUUACUGGGCGUAAAGCGUACGUAGUCGGCUUUGCAAGUCGGGUGUGAAAUCCCCGGGCUCAACCUGGGAACUGCAUCCGAGACUGCAUUGCUAGAGUAUGGGAGAGGGAAGCGGAAUUUCUGGUGUAGCAGUGAAAUGCGUAGAUAUCAGAAGGAACAUCAGUGGCGAAGGCGGCUUCCUGGACCAAUACUGACGAUCAGGUGCGAAAGCGUGGGGAGCAAACAGG